ensembl:lncRNA
AAGUAUUCAGGCUCAAUGCUGUGGCCAAACGGAUCUAAAAACAUCGCAGGCUCUAAUAGAUGUAUGUUUCUGUGGUUUGGUUGUGUGAUUCACCGGAAAUGCUAUCUGUGGUAUUCUGAGAAGCAGUUCGGCAAAAUGAUACGUGAGUACAUCAAAGUUCACUUAGACAAGCAUCUUCUUUGGAGUCGGUCUUAUAGGAUUGUUCUUCAUCAUGGCUGGACGCCUGCUGUUUGUCACCCUCAUGUAUUCCUGUGCCAAUACUAAAACACAAGCUCGUCCUCAACUCAUAAUGAAUUCAGCGGUGAUCUCAGAGACGGAAACAGUCACAUUGGACUGUCGAGCUCCAUCAUAUCCUACUGUCCACCAGUGUUAUUUCACCAUUAUCGGAGCAAAACAUGCCAAAGGCUUCACUUGUGUGCAGACACUGACAGGAACUGAACUGUUGAGGAUGUCAGACCAGAGAGCACCUGCUGAGGUUAAAGUGGAUUGUUAUUACACUGUAAUGGUUGGAGACGUGAAUCAUCCAUCUGCACACAGUGUCACAUCAUCCAUCACAAUCCAAACAGGUCUUUGUGCUUCCAGGCCUGUAACUACUGUAAAGCAAACAUCAGCAGGUCUCAGUGCUUCCAGGCCUGUAACUCGUAUAAAGCAAACACCAGCAGAUCAAACCUUUGGACCAAGAAACUCUGGUAGUUUUAGUUCUCCUCCCCUCACAACAGACAAACCAACAUCAGAUGUUGUCGAGUCGAGCACGACGCAGACUAAGCCGGCAUCUACUGUGACCACAGCAGGUCUCAGUGCUUCCACGCCUGUAACUCGUAUAAAGCAAACAUCAGCAGAUCAAACCUUUGGACCAAGAAACUCUGGUAGUUUUAGUUCUCCUCCCCUCACAACAGACAAACCAACAUCAGCAGAUCAAACCUUUGGACCAAGAAACUCUGGUAGUUUUAGUUCUCCUCCCCUCACAACAGACAAACCAACAUCAGAAAUGCAGAGAUGGAUGUUCAUGGUGAUUGCGAUUUGUUUGGGAGGUUUUUUCUCUAUUUCCUUACUGGGACUGGGCCUUCUGUGUAGAAAAAGAACAUUGGGUAAGAACUUGACUUAUGUGUCAGAAAUCAUUGAGUUAUUCUUUGCUCCCUGCUGCUUGAUGAACUGACAAAGAAUUUGAGCAGAGGGUCAAAAGAGGCACUAAAGACCCUUUUGAACACAACUUGCACAUAACUCUGUUUAGAGAACAGCAUCGUUUACCACAUUUGCAUUAAUGUCAUUGGAUGUUAGUAGUUCCUCACCUGUAAGUAUUCCAGAGAGAGCUGGACUUCCAAGCAAACUGCCUUAUGUAACAAUAUGCUUUUCUCUCUGUUGUGUUUUUCAGAAAGAUGUUCUUAUAAGAGGUCACAAGCUGAUGUCACUGGUAAUAUGCACACGUAGUCAGACAUCAUCACUGAAUUAUUUCUAUACACAUUUAGAAUGUGGUCUUUCUGUUCUGUCACAUUUGCAGGUUCUGUGAAACUGGAGGAGCAAACAUUUACAAAUGAGAAUCCCAUAUACCAUCUCUACUCCACUAUCCCCGACGAGCCGCCUGCAUCAGCCCAGGAGGAAGCGAUGUACAGCUACCUGCAGCCACAGUUGAAGCACUAGCCUUUUAUACUGUAGAGAAACUGUUUGAGCGGAAAGUCUUCUUUAAUCCAUUUAUUUUACAUUUUUUAAACAUAAUAUUCUUUGCAAAAAUGCAAUGCCAAUUGUAACUAAUGAACAACAGGUCUCAGCUGGGUGGCACACUUGAUAUUUUGUUUUACAGGGAGAAAAGAUUAUUGAAUUUUUAUAUUGAAUUACAGAGAAUGGACGUUUACUUUUUGCAAUUGUUGAAUAUGUGCAAAGGUUUCAUUUUGUGAAGUUGGAGGCUGUUGAUUAGCACUACAUUGUAGACAGCUUCUUCUUUCUCUUUAAAGAUUCAAGUCAAAGAUGGGUCAGGAUUUUCUUCUGCAUGCUGUCAUAAAACAGCAUAAGCUUGCUUCUUUAGGACCUGUAACACGAUGCCUGCUCAAUAGAAUUAAACAAUUAAAAAAA